GACGAACGCUGGCGGCGUGCUUAACACAUGCAAGUCGAACGGUAAGGCCCUUCGGGGUACACGAGUGGCGAACGGGUGAGUAACGCGUGAGUAACCUGCCCUUCACUCUGGGAUAACAGUUGGAAACGGCUGCUAAUACCGGAUAUUCAGCUCCUGUCGCAUGGUGGGGGUUGGAAAGUUUUGGUGGUGGAGGAUGGGCUCGCGUCCUAUCAGCUUGUUGGUGGGGUGAUGGCCUACCAAGGCGUCGACGGGUAGCCGGCCUGAGAGGGCGACCGGCCACAUUGGGACUGAGAUACGGCCCAAACUCCUACGGGAGGCAGCAGUGGGGAAUAUUGCACAAUGGGCGGAGGCCUGAUGCAGCAACGCCGCGUGCGGGAUGACGGCCUUCGGGUUGUAAACCGCUUUCAGCAGGGACGAAGCGCAAGUGACGGUACCUGCAGAAGAAGCACCGGCUAACUACGUG
rnacentral:rRNA from 1 species